UACGUAGGGUGCAAGCAUUAAUCGGAAUUAUUGGGCGUAAAGGGCGCGUAGGCGGUAAGGGAAGUCAGAUGUGAAAUUUCGGGGCUCAACCUCGGAGCUGCAUUUGAAACUCCCGGACUAGAGGGUUGGCGGAGAAAAUGGAAUUCCACGUGUAGCGGUGAAAUGCGUAGAUAUGUGGAAGAACACCAGUGGCGAAAGCGAUUUUCUAGCUAAUACCUGACGCUGAGGCGCGAGAGCAAGGGGAGCAAACAGG
rnacentral:rRNA from 1 species